CUACACCAAAUCUUCAUAAUAUAAAGGUACCUGUAUGUUUCUAAUACAAUCCAAGUGUGAAAAGUAUUCACAGAUAUAGAAGAGGUGGCAUUUAUUCUAAUCAGUUUUUGGUUCAUUUCCAACUUAAUUAUUUUAAGGUAUUCUUUCAGCUAAAAAAUUUAUAAAUGUCUUUAAUGAACACCCUCCAUACCUUCUCCCUGCUCUUGUUUUUAUGUUAUAAAAUCUGAACUUUUUCAUUGAAGAGUCUCUAAAAUGCUCUACAUAGAUUUUAUUCUGAUCUUCUAUUUCUUUUUUGAGCCUGUCAAUUAAUUAUCUCUGGACAAUACUUUGUGCCUUGUUUUAUGUUUCAGAAUUCCAGAUACUCAAGGUUGGAGAGCUACUAACCCAGUACAUGAAUUCCCAGUGUAUCUUUCAGUGUUCUGAACCUGUAUUUUACAUUUUCAGAAAAGUUGACCACAGAAGCAUGUUUAUAUUGUAUUAAAACAAACUAUUUUUCUGGAAAGUUUUCCCAUUAAGCGUCUAACCUCCAAGCAUCGAAUCCCAGGCCAAUUUGUUUCAAAGUACCAACCUGGAGAAAAUGCCCUGGAUUUGGAAGCAAAGUAUUGAAUGUUGGAAGUCUGAAUAAAGGAAUCAUACACUGUAUGUGCACCUGAAUGUACUUUACAAGCAUCAGUAGAACACUUCUGAUUGAAGCUUGGUCUUAUGAAGAUAAAAAUUUUAUGUGGACCACAGAUUCUCUAAAAAUCAGUGAGUUCAAUUCAUUUUGAAUUAGAACAACAGUUUAAAUUAGGUAAUACACAGCUCAAAAUGGCCAACUUUACUAGUCCAAUUCAAUAGAUCCGGGCCCUAGUCCAUUAUUAUAAACCAACCAAACAAACAAAAUAACCCAAGAUAUAAGUGAAAUAUUUGGAAGAUCAAAAUUCUGAUUAUAAAUGACCGGA
rnacentral:lncRNA from 1 species